rnacentral:rRNA from 1 species
UACGUAGGGCGCAAGCGUUGUCCGGAAUUAUUGGGCGUAAAGAGCUCGUAGGCGGUCUGUCGCGUCGGUUGUGAAAACCCAAGGCUCAACCUUGGGCCUGCAAUCGAUACGGGCAGACUAGAGUACUGCAGGGGAGACUGGAAUUCCUGGUGUAGCGGUGGAAUGCGCAGAUAUCAGGAGGAACACCGGUGGCGAAGGCGGGUCUCUGGGCCGUAACUGACGCUGAGGAGCGAAAGCGUGGGGAGCGAACAGG